GACAGAGGUGCCAAGCGUUUAGGCGGAAUCACUGGGCUUAAAGCGUGUGUAGGCGGAUGCCUAAGUACCUUGUGAAAUCCCACGGCUCAACCGUGGAACUGCUGGGUAUACUGGGUGUCUUGGGUCAUCUAGGGGCUGCCGGAACAAAUGGUGGAGCGGUGAAAUGCGUAGAUAUCAUUUGGAACGCCAACGGCGAAAGCAGGCAGCUGGGGAUGCACCGACGCUGAGACACGAAAGCCAGGGGAGCGAACGGGG
rnacentral:rRNA from 1 species